ACAGGGGGUAGGGGGAGCAGGAAGAAGGAGCAUGGCGGGGCAGCUGAGGAGGUGCUGGCAGGUGGGCCACGGGGUCCCACCUUGCAGGGGGCUUCUCCUCACCAGGGUGUGGUCCUGUUUGUCUGUGUAUGCACAGGGAAGUUAGCAUAUGCUGUAAACAACAUCUCAGCUCACCUGUGACAACCCGAAUCACACUGCAAAUCACUCAAUUCUAACUACAACAGCCCCAUAAAUUACUGUUUAAGGUAGAAAGUGGUGUAAACCCAGGAGCAAUCUUCAGUAUCCAAGCCUGUUCCUGACCCAGGAGGUGGAGAAUGUACCCCUGGGGCCUCUCCCCUUGACUGGGAACUAGGUAGCUAGAGUUCCAGGUGGCUUGAGUUCUGUGGCCCGAGGUCAUCUUCCACUUACCUGCUCAUGACAGGUGACUUAUCUGCUCCAGAAGGUGAUGUGAAGAUUAGAGCAGACAGAUGAGAGUGUCCUGGGAGCACCCAGAGUACUGCUGUUUAAAUCUGAAGGAGAUUUGAAGGUCAGCUGCAGUUUGUUAGUGCUCUCCAAGUUACAUGAUCAAAAGUUUCUAGUUAGAUCACAGUGAGCGUUUCCAACUUAGUUACGAUCACCUCAUUGUGUCCAGCGAACAGAGGAACCAACCAACAAGCAGAGGUCAGAAUUCCUUUCACGGCGACUGGUUCUGCCCUCUGCAGGGGACGGAGCUUCUAGGAAAGGUCUUAACCCUCUGUUCGCUUGCAAGAGGAAAAACUUCCCAAGGCAACCUGGAAGAAUAGCAGUCCUUUUCUUUUUUUCUUUUGCCUUCUUUUUAUUUAUUUAUUUUUUAACUAAACCUUCCAUAUAAAGAUAGCGUUGGGAUGUUUCCUGAGUAUUCACACUGUCCGUACCGUUUCUGACAUCGCUGUAACAACUGCAGCUGAUCAUGUGAGCCCAAGGAGUGGGAACCACAGCCCAGAUCCCUCAAGUCUAAUGAGCAAAGAGACACAGAAUGCUCAUGUCUGCCUAAACUAUUAGGCUUUGCCAUUAAUGAAUCUUGCUGUGGACAAAUCCCUCAUGGUUAGAGGAAGUUUGGUGAGGAGUGUUCUGUGUGGCCAGAGGGAAUCAGACGUUGACAUCUCCAGAAUGGCUGGCAGCCAGGCCUCUUCCCACGAUGGGCCCAGCCCUCCUGCGGUGGGUGUCCAGGCUCCAGGAAGGGCCUCUGCUCCUCACGGACAUGGAAGGGCUGUGGCCCCAUGUCCUUUCACUCUUUCCAUUUCCCCACGGCCCUAAUCACAUGCUCAUAGGUAACUCCCCAUCCUGGGAUGUUUUCUGAGGACGAGCGAGCAUCAGGAUAUCAGGUUACUUCAGGAUCUUUCUUUCUUUGUUUUAUUUUUGCCUGGCGAGCCACCUGGUUUCUCAGGAACCUGCUCAUACAUGAAUGAUCUCACUCACGGUGCACUGAUUUGAUAAUUUUCCACCAAUUUCCCAGGUGCUUCACGAAGACAUGCAGCGAGUCUUCUGGGAGCUGGUCCAGCUGCUGGCUCACGCGUUCCUGUUGAGCACCUUCCCCACCACAGAGAAGUGGGUUAAAGGAUGUCAGGGUUAAACUCUUAACUCAGAGCUGGAUUGCACAGCUAACGGUAGUUGUAGAUGGAGCCAGACAAGGAGAAGACGCAAGUGCUCAGGCCUAGAAACGAAAGCGUGGCUGAGUUUAACUCCUAUGGCUGGAAAUAAGAAAAUGCGUGAACUCCUGGCUCAUUCUUCCUAAAGUGGGCAUCGGCUGAUUUAAGACAGAGGGUAUCUGCAGCUGCAGGUGCAUCUGCCCAGGCCCGUACCACCCUGUUCCUGAAGAUAGCAUGGUAGCAGCACAUGCCUAGUGACCCAGUCCACUCAGGACACAUGGCACCACCUCCUUUUCCCAGUUCACAGCACUCAUUGCCUCUUGGAGCUGAUUCAGGGAAUCUCCAGCAGUGAAAGGUACCAACAGACCUGUGGAAAUCCUAGGAUGAAGCCUGUGCAGUCUGCUUCGACGAGAAAAGCGUCUUCCCAAGAAAUCAUAUGAAGGAACCUCAGUGCUGUGGACAAAUAUGUACACGCACUUGCACAGGGGGUCCUGUGUUUCCCGCUCUGCAGGCCGCCCCGUGAGACCACAAUUCCUGCGAAACUCUGGCAUCCAGAAGCUACAACAAAUCCAGAUAAAACGAACCCCAUGGCACGCUGGGCACCGUCUGCCUUCAGUGGCUCGCAAUGCAGGAACUGUACUGUAUAUUCUGAUGCGGUUUCCACGUGCACAGAAGUCGUACUUUUGCAGGCUCUGUUUGUUUGAGGUGAUUGCUGUAACACUUCGUGACACGUGGUGGCUUAAAGCAGCAGAAGUCCGUUGUCUCAUAGCUCUGGAGGUCGAAGUCUGAGGGUGCAGGCAGGGCUGUGACCCCUCCAGAGGCUCCGGGGAGACCCUCCUCGCCUCUCCCAGCCUCUGGUAGCUCCCAUGCUCCCUGGCUUGUGGCCACUUUGCUCUAGUCUGUGGCUGCAUCUUCACUGGCUUCUCUGCACGUGCCAAAUCUCCCUACCUCCUCUUCCAAGGACGCAGUGGUUGUAGGCAGGACCACUGAGAUAAUUCAGAUCAACCUCCACCUCAUGACCCUCAAUUUGCUCACAUCUCCAAAGACCCCUCUUUGCAGAUAAGGUAAUUUACAGGGUCAGGGAUUAGGAUUUGGCAUCAUUGGAGGCUGUUAUCCAGCCCAUGAGGAGCGAUAAGUCCGAAUUUUGGGACUGGUCUAAGAAGGGAGUGAGAGCUCUUCCUGGAGGAGGGGCAGCCCUGCACACUGGGCCACCCACUCCACGGAACAGGGGAUUGCGGGUGACCACAGCUCAUGGGUUGCUUCUCGCUGCAUCUGUUUUUUUCCCUCUGCGUCUUCAGUGUGUGAUGAGGCCCGGCGGAGCUCAUGGUACAGGAGGGCAGGGGUCCUGGGGCUGCCGUGCCCCCCGGCUGGGUGUGCAGAGUGACUUUGGGAUGCAUGGAGUGCCCGGCACCUGCGCCGGCUGAGUGAGGGUCGCCUCAGGUAGGACCUUGGAUUUGAAAAUUUGGGUAGGAAGCCCAAGGAAGAGUGAGGAAAAAAGUGUUCCUGAAACAUGGUGUAGCCUGGCGGUGAGCAGGGUCUGGCCCCACAUUUUCUUUAGUAAUUGCUCCUGAGCGGCCUUGGCAAUAGUGGCCUCACUACCCAAGCAGCCUCUCCCUGAGCUGUCUCUAACAGAACCAUUCUCACAGGCGCUUGUUGAACCUGGCACGUAACUCAGGGAUGUGUUGGCAUUUAUUAAUUUGCGAACAUACCACGCAGCAUAUGGGCCAUUCAUCUUUGAUAAAGUGUUUAGGGAGCUGUCUUAUUUCAGAGCUUAUCUGUAUGGGAAGAAGCUGGUCUCCUGGACCCUUUGACACAAAUAUUCUGGCAGGUUGUCUAGUAUACAGAGAUCAGCUUGAUGAGACUGUGCGACUUUCGCCGAAAUGCAUACAAUCCUGUUAACGGUGGGCUCUGGCGGCAGAGCGAGGCUGGACUCACUUCUGUGAUGUACCAGCAGUGUGGCCUCUGACAAGCUAAUUAACCUACUACUGCCACCACAGCUACCACCUCCGGUUCAACUACCACCGUGAUCACCACGACCACCAUUGUGGGGUGACUCCACAAUUCCUCUAUGAAAAUGACUUUUACUGUGGCUCACAGAGCCGUGAAAAUAUGCCUGACUUGAAGAAAAUCCUUAUUUAUCUUUUUAAAAAGGCAUUCUGUGAGACAUUACAGCAUUUCUUUACAUAGUGAGCCUACUACAUUUACAAUGUAGCUCACUUUCCCAAAAUUAAAUAUACACAAAACAUUUGAGGAAUAUAAUUUUUACAAGAAGUGAGGCAAGUCUGUGUCGUAGGGUAGCCCUGCAUUUAAUUUUGCAGAGUGAAUGGAAUAGCACACAUCUGGCCAUGCACAGAUCAUAAGGCUGAGAGAGUCAAAGUGACCUCCUGAAUUUUCUAUGUGGCCAGACACACUGUGGAGUCUCUCUCUCACACACCCACACACCUUUAAUGGAAGUAGAGCUGGUAAAUUUAAUGUGGACUUAUGGAUUUGGGGUAACUAACUUCUCAGGCUGUAUUAAUGCUAUUUUAUUCAUCAUCAUUAAUAUUAAUGAACAUCUUUAUAAUUGCUGAUAAGUUUAUAGCUGCUGUCUUGCUUUGAUACAGCACAUUCCAUAAGAAACGUAAAAUGUCCUAUGGAGCCUGGAGAUGGUGUGUUAACUGAGGGUGGACAGCUGGUUCUUUCUGCUGUAAGAGGGUCCUAAAAACUGUGGGUUCCUGCAAGCCAAGGGAAUACGAAUAUUGAAAACACAGAGGCCAUGGUGGCUUUGCCCUUGCCUUCCCUAGCUCCUGUGACUGGUUUGAGGCAGAGGUGCUGAGGUGGGGAAGGCAGGCGUCUGCAGGGCGUGGGGCGCGCCACACUGGCUGCACUGUCUGUGAAUGUCCCGGGUGUGAAUUCUGUGGGGCGGCACUGACGUCCGGGGUGCCAAGGCCUGGGUGCCGUCCUCUCAGGAGCCUUUGUGCCUCCACUCAUCUCCAGGGACUUCGUUCCUAGAGGCAGCCAAGGAGUCAUGAGGAUGAACCACCACUCGGGUCCCCCGAGUUUAAAGCACAGAGGCUUGCAGGAUGCUUCAGAAGACGUGACAUUUCCAUGGCAGAGGAAAGAAUCUGCGGUUUUCAUUUUUUUAGCUGGAUGAUGACACGAUUUUUGGCUUCUGUAAGGAUUGCCAUUAUUUCAAAAGAUAUGGAACAAAGGGACUUUGGGGGAAUAUGGCCUUUUGUUCUUCCAAAUUAUGUUAUUUUUCUGCCUUAGUAUUCAAAAUGUAGUAACAUGCCAGGUUUCAAACUGGAUAAGAAUGUGGCUGGUUUUAUUGCUCUUCAGUCCACAUGACCCAUUUGAGAUCGUUUUUCUUAAGCCCAAAUAACACGGGAGUGUGGAGUGAGUCCAUCGGACUUAGAUUAUCUCUGUGUUUGUCUGCAAAUGCUAUCUCGCCUUUGUUUUUGAAGGAUACUUUUUCUUGAUAUCAGAUUGUAAGUUGAGAUUGUUUUUCUAUUGGCAUUUUAAAGAUGUCAUUUCAUUGUUUUUUUUGUCUUCUGAGAAUCAAUGAUCAGUCCGAUUUAGCUCUUUUGAAGUGAAUUUGUCUUUCAUUUCCUGACCGCUCUUAAGACUUUUUUUUUUGGUCUGUUUUUCAGCAAUUUAAUCACUGAGAUGAAAAAUUUAAAAAAAAAAAUCUUGGCGUAUGAUGUGCUUUUCAAAUCUGCAUUUGGAUGCUUUUUGUUUGUCUUGAUCUUAAUGAUCAUUAAUUUCAGAAAUUUCUCCUGAAUUAAAGAAGUCUGAUGCUCCAUAGAAGUUUCUUCAACUUAGUGUGACAAUAUUUUGAAAAUCUGGACACAUAAAAAAUAUGGACAUAAAUGGCCACAGAUACUUUGAAAGCCAAAAAUAGGGAGCAUUGGGCAAAAUGUAUAAGCUAGUCUUGGUACACAUUUCAGUAAGUAUCAAACUUCUUUCUGACAAAUGGGGUUGCUGUGAAACCCAGGCACCUGAAGGGCUUCUGACGCAGAAGCUGCCCAUUUUCACCACCGAAGUGUGUGCUUCGGGAGGCCAGCCUAUGCUCGCCCCUAUUUCAUCACCAGCACCACAGUGCUACUUCAUCACAUGAACAUAACUAUGAGUCUUAAACAACUCAUGGUUGCAACAAUCAGUUCUCUGGGUUCAUCUCUCAGAUUUCAUGUUCAUUGCCAAGACCUUGAGGUGGGUUGUAAAAAUAUCAGUUUUAUCCUCAGUGUGGACUAAGAAAUUCAUCAUUGACAAGCCUAUCUGUUAAAUAUGCUGUUAACGCAAACAAUGAAUUUAUCCCACCCAGAUUUUUUCCCCUUUGUUGUUUUUUUCUUGAUGAAGAGAAAUAAAAAUUUAGCCUUGAUGUUGAAAGCUCGAAGAAGCAUAUAUCCUCAGCUUAGUAGAACAAGGGUGUCAAAAUGGCUAUUUCAUCUCACUUUUUUCUAAAAGGAUGAUUAUUCAGGACAUAGAUUUUUAUUAAUUACUAUGCCCAUCAUUUUUUUCAUCUUACUGAAUUCACUGAGAAAGACCAAGGGCAAACUCCUUUAGGUUAUCUGUGGUCAGGAAAUAACACAACUUUUGCUGAAGGAUUCAGAGUUCAAGACAGCCUCGAAAUGAGCUUCUGGUCCUGAAGUUUUGCCAUAGGUUCAGACUGGCCAGUGCAGAAUUUUUCAAGUAUAUCCUUCAAGAAGGAUACAUUACUAUGCCUCUGAUGACUGUGUGAGCUAGGGUAUCUUUUUCAGCUUGGCUGCUUCUUUUUAACUCAGAACUGAUUUGGCCGUAUCUAAAUUGCAAGGCUUCAUUCUGCUAAUACAUAAGCUUCAUCUUCUAAGAAAAUACUGCAAGCUGACCUUGAGGGAAGCUUCAAGCAAACUUCAUUUACUUAUUUGAGGCACUUUUUAUUAUUAUCCCUAUGCAAGAUCUUGCUCUGUCUUUUGGGGCAAGACAUUCUGAUGAUUUCUUUUCAAAAUUUGCAUGAUUGGUUUUUAAAUGUCCAUCAAGAACAAUGUGGGGGCUGCUUAGGGGUUGCAUGCCGGCAAGAUACCAAGACUUAGGCUGAUUUGCAUCUCAAAAAUAAUAAAAACCGGGUUCCCAAUAAGCAUGUAAAUGGAGGCUGAAAUAUUUAGUCAGUCUGCGCUGGCUGUGGUGUGGCAGGUGCUGUCUGGGCUGCGGAGUGGACAGGUGCCACCCAGGAUGGGAAGCAGACAGGUGUCUCGCAGGCUUGGCCAUUAUUCGUGCUGCGAAACGAUGUCAGGGGGAUUUGAAUUCUCUAAUUGUGUUUUCUAAAAUUCACUGUGUUCACACUUAUGAUUGGAAAUUCCUGUUUUUAUUUAUGUUGACAUGUUCCCAGAUGGACACGUGGUUGAAAAUCUGCACUGGGAGACUGGCUGCCGAGGCAGUGACACGCCAGUGCCCAAAGAGGGCAAAACCCGCUCCGUGGACAGUGGCUCGGGAGGACGUGGUCACAGUGUUUAGCAAGCUUGAAUAUGCCCUUCAGUAGGUGCUGGACACGGGACGAGGAUGCCCUAAGGAAAACGCACAGAGAAAGGGCGAGCACACGGGCCACUCGCCGGACAGGUGAUGUGGUUUAAGCCCUGACCCUGCCAAGUCCGUGGCGUUACUCUCCUUCCUGGGGCAGGGGUCUUCUCUGUUCCCCGACAUCUCUGCCUGAUUCUGCACAGAAAGGCCCUCCCGAGGGUGCUCCCACUCAGCAGGGGCUGACUCCAAGGCCGGUGUUCUGCAUGUCCCAGCACCAGGCUGCCAGCGAAGAGGAAACCCUACCCCUUCUAAUUGUUCCUGGGAACCUGCCAAGGUGCCUCGCCGUGAAAGGCUGGGAGUCGCCACAGGUCAGUGUAUCCCUCACAAAACCCUCCCGAGACCACUCGCUGCUCUUUCUAGGGCACCUAACAGCUGCCAAGGGACUCUUCCUCCUUGUACUUGGCUGCAUGCCAGGCAGCCCGGGCAGGCCCCUGGUGACAUGGGGAGUAGAGGCUCAGGCAGGCUUGGGUCUCUGAGGACAUCUGGGCUGUGGGGAGCCUUGGUGCCGAGCUGGCCCAGCACUCGCGGAGUCACCUUGCAGCCUCUGGAGGGUGCGGAGGGCCCUGGGUCCCAAAGAUACACUCCAGCCACGUGGCCCUGGGGUCCCCCUCUCCCUGCCCCUCCUCGCCCACCUGGCUCUUCCUCAGCAUUGCCUCCGGUGGGUGGCCAGGAGGGCAGGUGGGGCCUCUCGGAUGAACCUAGCACUAGCAAUUCUGUUUUGGGGGCUACUUCAGACACUGCUGUGAAAACAGCAUCACAACACAACUGUGAAUUCAUUCCAAGACCUGGGCUAUUCUUAUAUUCAGAGACGCGCUGAAACCUUAUGUCAUUUUUUCUUUGUAAAAUUGUUGGAAUUUGCCCAUUAAAUCUUAAAUUGCCACUAGCCAACAUGGAUGCAAUCUCCUGGGGAUGGCACCGCUGGGCACACCUGCGUCUGGCCUCGUGGUGGGAAGGGGCUUGAGGGCCCCCAGGACGGGGGUUCUUACCACUGAGGAGAGGCCGGUUGUGCCGGUAGGAGGUGGGCAGCUGGCCAACGUCCUCCAUGCGGUGGCUCAUGACGCGUGCCAGGUGGCCCGUGUGGUGCAGGCUGCCCACCACGAUGCUCUGCAGGUACACAGGCUCCACGAAGUGGGACAGGAGUGCACCCUGCAGUCCCAGGACGUUCCACCUGUGGGGAGAGCCAGUGGUUAGUGGGGCCCACCCUGGAGCCCAGGACAUUCCAGCUGUUGGGAGAGCCAGAGGUCAGCAGGGCCUACCCCGGAGCCCAGUGAGCUGGGUCCUUUCUGCCCCUCUGCAGCUUGGUCUUGAGAACCUGUCACACUUCCAUUGUGCGGACCUGCGGGGGGCUCGCCGGGGGUGCCCAGACUCAACCCACUGUCGCCUGGGAUGGGGAUCCAAGGGCCCCUGUGUGCUAACACACACUACUCCCUUUUCUGAAAAUGAGUUGUUAGGCAGAGUGGAAGCUGUUAUGUUCUCUCUGGGAUGUAGAAUUAGAUGUUUUAAGAAAGAUGCUCUGUCCCGAAAGUGAAUCUGAAGUUUUCUUUAUAUUAGCUGGGAAAUAUUAGAAACUGAAUUUAUUUUAGUUUAGGGAAAAAUACUUUCUACUCCCUUUGUCCUUAGCAGUCAAAAUGACCUAUUGUGUUGAAAUGAAAUGACAUGAAUAAAUGACCUUGGUUUGGUCUGGGGAUGAUUUGGUUUUAGAAGCCCGGAUUGGAGAUGAACGAGGAGUCCAUUUUGUUUGAAAUAAAUAUAGCUCUGGGUGAAUGUUUUUGCUUCUUCAAGCAAAAAUACCAAGAGCACUGGGAUUUUUCCCCAUUAAAGUUGGGUGGCAAGAGGUUCCAUGUGUGUGUUAUUCAAGGCAACAUUUUGUGGUUUCCACUCUAAUGUACUUAAAAUCCCAUCUCCACCAGUAGCAAGCAUUCUGCAGCUAAUUUCUUACAUCAUUGUUCUUUUCAUUAAUUAACAUUUCUCCACUGUUAGAGCAAUUACUGCAGUCCCCGCAUGCAGUGCCUUUUUUCAUGAUUAAUAAGCAGUCAUUAUAUUUCCCUUCCUGAAGCAGUCAAUUAACACAGAAUUCUUUCCAUUAAUUACCGAAUCUACCUGGAGAGUAAUCUUCUCGGAGAACCUGUGACACCAAUUGCUUUCAAAAGUUCUCUUCAAAUUUUAUUCCAAAAACAUAGGCAAUUUAGCCAGCGAUAUUAAUUUGCCUCAGAAUCAUCUCUGUGAACGAGAAACAUCUUUUAAUCUCAUGCAAGAAAAGGCAGCCAUCUGGCUGGUGGGGAUUUCGGGGAGCAGCUCUCCCUCCGCAAAUGCAGGUCAUUAAAGUAAUGUGCUCAUCUACAUAAAACUCAAAUGGAAUAUAAAAGGUAAUAUUUAUAUACAAACAAUUUAGUCCUACAAUUUAAACAGUCAUUGGUUUUAUGAAACGUUUACUUCAGUCUAUCAGAUUUGCAUAACUUCAUUUAAAAAAAUAUUGUGGUCAUUUCUACAAGUCACGGCGUUUCUCCCAGAAAGCAAGGGAGGGGCCGGCUCCUGGAUACGUGAGGUUCUCCCUGAGGGAGGAGCUCAGGAGUUCUGAAGGGUAGGAUGAGACGAAGGCCACAGACCACCUGCCACUGAGAAGCCUGCAUUCCACAGCGUGUCUGCCUGGAUCUCCAACAGUGGCUCUUCAGAGUCAAUUUUUUCUUUGAUGUUCACUGAUAAGUCAGAGCAUGUCAGCAAAACGUGGGAAAGGAGACUUUUUGUAACAGAUUUUCCUUUGGUGUUUUAUGUUUUUUUUUUUUUUUUUUUAAAUAGAGACAUGGUUUUGCUGUAUUGCCCAGGUUGGUCUUGAACUCCUGGAUUCAAGUGAUCCUCCUGCCUCAGCCUCCUUAAGUGCUGGGAUUACAAGAGUGAGCCACUGCGCCCAGUCUUUUUUGGUUUGUUUUUUAGACAGGGUCUCAUGCUGUCAUCCGGGCUGGAGUACGCUGGUACAAGUGGUGCAGUCACAGCUCACUGCAGCCUAAUUAUUUUGUCUUUUUCAUAGAGGCAGAGUCUUGCUAUGUUGCCCAGGCUGGUCUCAAACUCCUGGGCUCAAUCAAUCCACUCACCUUGGCCUCCCACAGUGCUGGGAUCAUAGGCAUGAGUCACCGUGCCCAGCCAAUGCCAAUGUUUUUGAGGAGUGGUUGAGGGAUUUGGCUUGUUCCCUUGAAUCUGAGACCAGAGGACAGACCAAAAGCUGGGGGGAAAUUCAGCAGCAUGGCCCUCCUUAGGGUGUGAGAUGCCGGAAAACAAGGCCCCGGAAAGGACCCCGUGUGGGGCCCAGGGCUCUGGUUACAUGGUCCUAGUGGGCCUGUUACUUCUCAGACUGUUAGUGCAGUCUUAAAAUGUUUUACAAAUUAAAGUAGGGAAAGGUAUGUUUCCACCAUCAGUAACAAAGCACCUUCUUGAAAUAAGCCGUGAGUUAAAAAGUAAAAUCAGGGUUCCUGGAAGAGGCGCUGUGGUGUUAGAGGUCAUUGGAGCACUGACCUCUAGUCAUUUGAACAAGACUUCUGGAACGUACAUGAGUGUCUGUGAUGCCACAGGACUCUGGGAAGACAGAGAACUUCAGUGUCGGGUUCCCACCUGGUAACCUUGACAAUAAAGAGGAAAUCAGCCUUCUCCUUGCCUGGCUAUCAAGAGUUUAAACUUAUUCAGCUAACACAAUCAAUAAAACCAAAUGUCUUUCUGAAUAUGAGCUGGAGAAUUUUCAGCAUUCAGGAUUGAAUGGAAAAAUACCUCUACUUUUGUUCAAACAGCUGAUAUUACCCCACUCUUGACAGAGAAAAAAAACCCCGUGUCUAGUUUUCAAUACAGAUAAUCCCUAAAUAAAUGUAUUUUUAUCUGUGUGUCAAUCACUGAAAUACCACAGAUAAGUGGGGGGAGAUCUUGGAAAAAGGCUGCCAUUCUUGAGUCAGGAGUGGCAACCUGCUCACUCAGCCCAGGCUGUGGUCUCCUGGUCACAGUGGAAGGAAAGACGGGUCUGCGGUGGGUUGACGAUGCCUCAGGUUGUCCCUGCAGGUGUGCCGGCGUCAGGCAGGGACAGCAUCAGGUAGGGAACAGGGACCACCCUUGCCUGUUUGGAUGCUUUGGUUUUCCGCUGUGACGUGGCCCUCUGAGGAGAUGUAACUCUAAAGGUGUAGAUGUAACUUUAGAGUUACAUGAAGCCUGCAGCAAAGUCCUCAGCCACCACCUGGCGUGGCUCUUAGGCCUGCUGCUGGAUCGUCUGGGAGCUAUGAGGACCUCCUGAAGCCUGGCUCCCUCAAGGGUUCUGGUGUGAUUGGAGGGUCAGUGCGGCCAUCAGCUUUCUCGGUGCCACCCAUGUGAGUCUCGUGUGAGCCAGGGUUGAGGACUUCCGCAGCAAAGUGGCAAAUUCUGGAGCCAACAGUCAGGUACCAUUUAGGUCAUGAUGCUGGUCAGAGGGGCCUCUCUUGCUGCUCUUAUCAACUCUCUUCUCAGUGGUCCUCAAAGUGGGGUGCCUGGGCUAGCCACCCAGCAUUACCUGAGAACUUGAUAGAAAUGUAAAUUCCCGGGCUGCACCCCGGAAAUGCUGGCUCAUGAACUCUGGGGUGGUGCCCGGUGGCGCAAAUUCUAAGCAGCAGCUUCCAGGUGGCUCUGAGGCUGCUCAGUUCAAGAACCACCAUCUCUGUGUUGGUUCUGUGGUCACAAUAGCAAUACCUACCUCUAAUGGCAUUGCAAGAGCACAGGAAAUGAUUUAAUCUCUGGCUGGUUGGGGGGUGACAUUUCCCUUCUGUCACACCUCACCCCCAAACCCUACCUCACACCUUCAUUCCACAUUUUGGCAACACAGGUAAUAAGUCCAAGACGUCUCUGCAUGAAUGCCUCAUCCCAUUUCCAGGCAACUCAGAUCUAUUCUGGGGCCUAAGUAAAAGAGAAGCCAGCAGCCUUUUGACUCAGUAACAUUACUGCUAGGAAUUCACCCAGCAUCUGCAUUCUCAAUGGAACCCCUAAUGUACGGAUGGGGCCAGUCCUGAAGGGGCUGUUUCUAAUUGCAAAGCAGACAAAGCACAGCAAAGCAGAAACUGGAAAUCACCUAUGUGCGUCUUAGCAGGGAACUGGUUAAAUAAAGGAUGGUGUGUUCAUGAUGCCCUGGCCUGCCUGACCACGUAUCCCACACCUGUGCCUCUGAGGCAAGCCUUUCUUGCUGGGACGCCCUUGGGGUCAGGAGGCCAUAGCUUCCCGACCCGCGCCUUCUGCUGUGUGGAGACUCUGCCCCUCAUGGUUCCUGCCAGCCUUGCCCAUCACAUCAUGUGGGAUACUUGUGAUUGCUCUAAAAACAUGAGGCUCUCAUGCUGUCCCCUCUUGAGGUCCCUGCCUUGUGUCCAGUGGCAUCGUGGCUGCCUCCUGCUGGGCUGCCCCUGCCCCAGACCUUGGGUACCUGUGGUUUAAAUCUCCUAGCAUUGCUGAGCACGAGUCUGGUGUGCAGAGGGAGGUGCCUGAUGUGUAGGAGGAAGCUGAUGGAUGGGGUGUCCCUUCAGCAGCUGUGUUGUGUUCAGAGGUGGAAACGACGCUAGGCGACAACCCAGCAAGGCUCUCAGUGAUCCCACCCCACAGGCUCUUCCUCCAUGUGACUGUGACACCCCCAGUGGGGCCUCCACCUGCCUUGAGCUUCUGUGGCUUGGGACAUCUCAGCCCAAGGGUUGGGGUGAUGCCACGUAGAAUGGGUCCCCUGACCUCCCGGGUGCUCCCUCAGGCCUCAGCUGCCUGCCAUUCUGCAGACUCCUGAAUCCGUGAAGCAGCGCCAGGGCCUUCACCCACCGCAGCUGACCUGCCAGUAAACCUGAUCUGCGGCCCGGGGGCUGCCUUGCCGGCACCACGUGGGGAGGAAGUGAGCAACCUCCGAGCUCGCAGGGAGGGCCUGGGAGUACACGAGGCGCUUGCUGUUUCAGGGCCACGUGGUUUUGGGGUGGUUCGCUUCACAGUAGGAGACAACUGAACAGAGCCUGUGGCUCAGCCGGAGUCAUCUCUGGGCUGUCUGCAGCUGCCCCGGGAGCUCACACAGGUCAGGCCAAAGGGAAAGGAGUGCAGUGUGCACCCUAGGCUCUGCCGUCCGAAUGCUCUUUACUCUGGUUGGCCUCUUGAUUCUGGGGACAAAGGACAGGCUUCACUCAGCCCAAGGACCUUUGGUUCCUUCUAUGAGGACAGCAGCUGUGAGAUGACGCCUGGCGACUCAGGGGCCUCAGCCCUGCGCCUCCGUCUCUGCAUCUCUGUGUUGGCUUUGCGGCGUUCAUGCUGUCUGGGUCAUUGCUGAGCAUCCCACGUCCCCACUCAGCUGGUCUCAUGCUUUCUCUUGUCCCCCUGAUUGGAGUCCCAGUUCUUACGUUGUUGCCAGCUUGUCACCCUUGGCUGUCUCCACAGCAUCUGGGCGGCUGCCCCCAGGAACUAGGCUCUGGUCUUGGGAGCCUCGGCCAAGGUCAGUGGUGCUGGUGCAGGAGGGAAGAGCCUCGGAGGCAGAGGGGCUGCUGCUGAUUUCAUUAUUACUUUUUAUAUUUGAUAAGUGUCCGUGAAUUGAUCACUGCUUUCCUCACUAGAGAGGUUAUAAAAUGUCACUUAAGGCCGAGUAUGGUGGCUCACACCUGUAAUCCCAGCACUUUGGGAGGCUGAGGUGGGCAGAUCCCUUGAGGUCAGGGGUUUGAGACCAGCCUGGCCAACAUGGUGAAACCUGUCUCUGCUAAAAAUACAAAAAUUAGCCUGGUGUGGUGGCUCAUGCCUGUAAUCCCAGCUACUCGGGAGGCUAAGGCAGAGAAUUGCUUGAACCUGGGAGGCAGAGGCUACAGUGAGCUGAGAUUGCACCACUGCACUCCAUCCUGGACGACAAGAGCGAGACUUCAUCUUGGAAAAAAAAAAAAAAAAGGUCACUUAAAACCUAUAAUGAAAUCACCACACAGUCUAUAUUAUUUAAAAAUCAGUAAAAACAUUUUUAAACUAGAUGGGAAGUAAGAAGUUAUGUUACGAAGGAUCUACACUUUGAAGUUAGAACCAUGAGCAACACUCAUUUGACCUCAGUGGUGUUGACAAAAAUUUAAAAACGAAGUCCAGCUGGGUGCGGUGGCUCACACCUGUAAUCCCAGGACUUUGGGAGGCCGAGGCGGGUGGAUCACGAGGUCAAGAGAUCGAGACCAUGCUGGUCAACAUGGUGAAACCCCGUCUCUACUAAAAAUCCAAAAAAUUAGCUAGGCAUGGUGGCGCGUGCCUGUAAUCCCAGCUACUCAGGAGGCUGAGGCAGGAGAAUUGCCCGAACCCAGGAGGCGGAGGUUGCGGUGAGCCGAGAUCGCGCCAUUGCACUCCAGCCUGGGUAACAAGAGUGAAGCCAAAAAAAAAACGAAGUCCAGCAGCAUAGCAUGGAGGAAGGCAUCAGGAUUGCUCCGUGGCCGCCGGUGGCCAGGAGGAGGUUCAAGAGGCUCUUGUGGGAGAAUGCUGAGCAGCCCCUGUCUAGGCAGAGGGAGACAGAGCUCUGCACAGUCUGAAACUUAAGUUCAGAAAUCAGCCAGUGCCGUACUCCCCAGAGAGCAGCUGUAAUUUCUUACAGUUCAUUUUCAUGGAGAAAGUUUUAAUCUGUUUAUCUAAUGACACAUUGUGAUCAAUAAUCACGCUCAGGUACUUAAAAUUAGAAACCAUAUCUGAGGGAACAUUAGUUCCAGAAGAUUUAGAUGUUUUAUAUGCCACUCAGCAUUUGAUUCUUUGAGACAAAAGCUAAAGGCACCUCUGCGGUUUUCCCCAUUCUUCCAGGAGCCUGGGGUUUGGCUGUUAGUGAGAGUGGAGACUGACUCCAUGGAGCUGGAGGAACAGGCUAUGUCUGUGGGCCCUCAGCAUGGGACUGUCAUGUCUGCCGUGUCCGACCUUCGUCCCACGCAGGGGCAGGGUUUGGUUGCCAGGACGCUCCUCAACCUUAAUUUGUGGCUUUGCAGGCCAAUCCUCAUGGACCCAUGAAACAACCCAUUUUCUGCAGUUCAUUCCGUCUUCCCAGGGCUGUGGUGGUGGUAGGAUUCUAGGAAUAGAGUUUGCUGUGACUUUAUGUGUCCUCUGAUUUCCCGAAAACUGACUGGGUGAUUUCUCUUGCCCUCCAGUGCCAGCCUCCUAGGGCCGCUGUGGUGACAACCACAGUGGGGUGGCUUCAAACAGUGAUGUUCUCCCAGUUCUGGGGGCCAGAGCUCUGAAAGGGCAUCCACAGGGUUGUGUUUCCCCUGGGGGCAUGUGGCUGCUGCCACCUCCAUAGUCCCUGUGUUCUGAGCACCUGCUGUCUCUGAGGUCACAGAAGAGGCCGAGGACACCUGGGCGCAUCAGUCCCUGGCCCCAGGACUCAUGUGCAGGCAGCGGCCCUGUGCUGCUCAGUAAACUGAGGAGCCCCAGGGACCUGGGACUGUAGAGUGUCCUCUCACGGCCUCCAGUGGACUGCAGAGCCUCAGGGACCUGGGACUCUAGAGUGUCCUCUCACGGCCUCCAGUGGACUGAGGAGCCUUGGGGACCUGGGACUCUAGAGUGUCCUCUCACGGCCUUCAGUGGACUGAAGAGCCUCAGGGACCUGGGACUCUAGAGUGUCCUCUCACGGCCUUCAGUGGACUGAGGAGCCUCGGGGACCUGGGACUCUAGAGUGACCUCUCACAGCCUCCAGUGGACUGAGGAGCCUCGGGGACCUGGGACUCUAGAGUGUCCUCUCACGGCCUGCAGUGGACUGAGGAGCCUCGGGGACCUAAGACUGUAGAGUGUCCUCUCACGGCCUCCAGUGGACUGAGGAGCCUCAGGGACCUGGGACUAUAGAGUGUCCUCUCACGGCCUCCAGUGGACUGAGGAGCCUCAGGGACCUGGGACUAUAGAGUGUCCUCUCACGGCCUACAGUGGACUGAGGAGCCUCAGGGACCUGGGACUAUAGAGUGUCCUCUCACAGCCUAGACCCCUGUGGGGCCGGCUGCAUAUCAGGCCAUUUCCUUGGGGCUGGUUUUGGGGACGAGGCAGCACUCACGGGCUCUGAAAGGGCAUCCACAGGGUUGUGCUUCCCCUGGGGGCAUGUGGCUGGUGCCACCUCCAGAGUCCCUGUCCUCUGAGCACUUGCUGCCUCUGAGGUCACAGAAGAGGCCAAGGACACCCUGGCCCCAGCACUCAUGUGCAGGCUCUAAGUGGUCACAUAUCAUAUCAGUGGUGUCUGCUGAGGCCCUGAGAUGCAAGGACAUAGUUCUGGGCAUCACAGGGAGGGCCUGAUCUGUUGGGGGAGACAAGACGGCCACAAUCCCUUGGCCCAGUAAGAGCAGCUUCUGAGCAGGAGCCUGGCCCUCAGCUUUCUCUGCGGGGCCAUCCGGAGCCUGAUGAGCUGUCGGUGCGUUGGGCACACACGUAGGCAGGGUAGGUGUCCUGCCCAGCGAACGGGCUCAAGGUAUACUCCUGUGGCUCAGUCAUGGGUCCCCAGAGACCACAGCGUAUUUCAGAUGCAGUGAGGGGCAUGUGACCUGGCAAUAGCCCCAGAUCUGUCUGAAUGGUGGAGAAUAUUAGGUGUGGGUCUCAGGAGGCAUGAGGCUCUAAAGCCCCACGGGGCACUGACUCCUAGGCAGGACAGAGACAAGCGACUCAUUCAGUGACCCCAGAGCAACGCCGAGGCUGUAUGAAAAAGAACUGCAACCCCAUCAGCAUGGGGUGGUCUACCUCCCAGGGAGGCCCUCGGCCCUUAGGAGUGGGGAUAGCCGCACCGUCACCCACAGCAACACCCAUGCCCACAGAUACCCACAACCACAUUUGUGCUGUCACCGUGUCACACCCAUACCCACACCCAUACUGCAACCCAUGAUCACGCUCACCCCACCCCACACACACCCACACUGUCACCUACACUCACCCACACGCACAGCCUUGCCAACACCCACACCCAAACCCACAGCUCGCCCACACGCCCACAGUCACCCACAUUCCCUCAGUUACCCACACUCACACCCACACGCCCACAUCCACUUGAGUGCUCUCGAAGGCCCCGGUGCCCUGAACAACUGUGGCCACAGAAUGACAGAAGCCCACACUCCGAGGAUGGAGGAGACUCAGGUAAUGUGUCAGGAAAUGUGAAAAGAGUUUUCUCCACAAUGUUUUAUGACUCAUUUUAAACCACUGUAAAAACUUCAAGGAUUCUAUAACACACUUUCAUAUUUUGCUGUAAAAUGAUCUUACCACUGACAUUGUGAAAUGAAAUCUAUUGUUAUUCAUGGAGUUCUGUACCCAGAAGAAUGCCUGCUGUUACCUAAGGAUAUUAUUAUGCAUUAUUAUUGAUCUGAAAGGUGAUACCUAUGCAUUACUUUUGAUCUGUAAGUGGGAAGUAAUGUCACUGCAUUGUUUGUUUAGAUCUUUUGAUACGAAAGAUCAUUUUUCAUUGAUAUCAAAGGGAAAGUGCAAAAAGAAUUACCAGUUUGUCUAACGGAUGCACUUUCUAUGCCUUAAUUAUAUAUACCAUUCUAUCCAUUUAGUCUCAUUACAUGAAAGCCACACAAAGUCAGGAAUCAAAAGCCAGCCAAAAGUUUCUCUCAUGGCUGCCCAAACAGAACUGCGCCUCUUCCUAGAGAAAUUUCGAAACGAGGAAGCCGACAUGACCGCAGGUUCCCGGCCAUGUGUGGGAUGACACUCAUGCUCUCUAGGAGAGAAAAUCCGCAGGUUUCACUGGUUUUAGCACAUCCCUAAAAUUUAUGAGCAGCAUGGAUACCUUUGCAGCCCUGGCUGAAGUUAGUGGGAGGGCAGAAGGCUCGUGCUUCAGCUCCAUGAAGUCGUCGUGUGGCACAUCAGAAGGCAGCAGUCUUUUCACAUUCCCGUUCUCACGGUGUCAUCAAUCACGCUGCAAUGAUUCCUUGUUCACAUCGUGGCCAUUCUGACAACAGAGUAGGUUUCCUUCAUUCACAAGUGCAGUGAGCAGCUCCUGGAAGCUGACCAUGUACAGCACUUUGUACCUUGUUGGGGUGUAAAGACGCCUGGUGUGUGGGCCUUGGGUGGAUGGAAAGGCGGGGACAGUAGGAGGCAGCCCCUUCCUGCGCUGGGGCUCCCAUGGUGUAGAUGUCUCCUCAGGAUGGGUCUCAGUGGAGCCGUCACAGCCAAGUGAGCCAGCAUCAGGGAAACUCAGAGGCAGCACUUGCCAGCCUGGGCCAAUGAGGCUCCAUCACACUCCCUGCCAGCCCACCUAGGUGUUGCCAAUGUGCAAUGUUCAAAGCCCUUGUCCCCUCCCGCUGUGGCUUAGUCUCCAAUCGCUCCUUUCUACCUCCCUAUCUCUUGAUAUGAAUCAUUUAAUCUAUCUAUAAUCUAUCAUCUACCAAUCAUAUGAUCUAUCCAAAAUCUAUCAUCUAUUUUUCUUCUAUCUCUAUCAUUUUUGAUCUGUAUCAUCUAUCUAAUCUAUCAUUUAUUUAUCUACAUCAACCAUUGAUCUAUUAUCUAUCAUCUAUUAUCUAUAAUCUGUAUAUGACCUAUCUGUUAUCUCUAUCCAUCUAUCAAUCUGCCAUCUAUCGAUCUAUCUAUGCCUGCCACACACCCACACCCACUGUGCCAGACACUGAAUGAAUGAGGUGGAAUGAGAUAGGGUCCCUGCCUGGCAGAAGCUCAGAGUUGGGUGGGAAGGAUGGAUUCUAAGGAGGAUGAGGGCCCCCUUGUUGAGACAGUGGACUCCCAGCAGCCUCAAACAUGUUAUUUCUCAUUUAUUUCUAGACGAAAAAGUGGUAUGCUGCUAACAAUCAGCUCUCAAAAAAAAAAAAAAAACAAAAAACAGCACGCGUGUGUAGCUUCCCAAUUUCCAUGGUGUAAGCACGAUCACUGAGGCCAAUUUCAAGGCCCCAGUGUGAGGUCACUGAGCCAGCUUGGGUGGUGAUGAACCACCACACAUAUACGAGGGAUGUAAAUAAUUUCAAGAGCACAGAUAACAGCAAAAUAAUUUAAAGUGGUGAGUUUUGAGUACUGUAUAUCUGUGGUACUAUAACUUAAUUAGUUCUAAGUUAAUGUAAUUUAGUUUUUAAUAAUGACAACCUACUUUUUUCUUAACUAUAUAUUUUAUUGCUUUUUAGGUUUUGGGGUACAUGUGAAGAACAUGCAAGAUUGUUGCAGAGGUACAUAUAUGGCAAUGUAGUUUGCUGCCUUCCUCCCCAUCACCUAUAUCUGGCAUUUCUCCCCAUGUUAUUCCUCCCCAACUCCCCACCCCCUGCUGUCCCUCCCCUGGUUCCCCCCUCCACAGACCCCAGUGUGUGAUGCUCCACUCCCUGUGUCCAUGUGUUCUCAUCGUUCAACACCUACCUAUGAGUGAGAACAUGCGGUGUUUGAUUUUCUGUUCUUGUGUCAGUUUGCUGAGAAUGAUGGUUUCCAGGUUCAUCCAUUUCCCUACAAAGGACACAAACUCAUCGUUUUUUAUGGUUGCAUAGUAUUCCAUGGUGUAUAUGUGCCACAUUUUUCCUGUCCAGUCUAUCAUCGAUGGGCAUUUGGGUUGAUUCCAGGUGUUUGCUAUUGUAAACAGUGCUGCAAUGAACAUUCGUGUGCAUGUGUCCUUAUAAGAGAAUGAUUUAUAAUCCUUUAAUGAUAUAUACCCAGUAAUGGGAUUGCUGGGUCAAAUGGAAUUUCUAAUUCUAGUUCCUUGAGGAAUUGCCACACUGUCAUGUAAAAGUGUUCGUAUUUCUCUACAUCCUCUCCAGCAUGUCAUCUCCAGAUGUUUUAAUGAUCGCCAUUCUAACUGAUGUGAGAUGGUAUCUCAAUGUAGUUUUGAUUUGCAUUUCUCUAAUGACCAGUGAUGAUGAGCAUUUUUUCCUAUGUUUGUUGGCCUCAUAUAUGUCUUCUUUUGUAAAGUGUCUGUUCAUAUCCUUCGCCCGCUUUUGAAUGGGCUUGUUUGUUUUUUCCUUGUAAAUCUGUUUUAGUUCUUUGUAGAUUCUGGAUAUUAGCCCUUUGUCAGAUGGGUAGAUCGCAAAAAUUUUUUCCCAUUCUGUUGGUUGCUGAGUCACUCUAAUGACUGUUUCUUUCUUUCUUUUUUUUUUUUUUGAGACAGAGUUUUACUCGUUACCCAGGCUGGAGUCCAAGGGUGUGAUCUCGGCUCACUGCAACCUCUGCCUCCUGGGUUCAGGAAAUUUGCCUGCCUCAGCCUCCAGCUGGGAUUACAGGCAUGUGCCACCAUGCCCAGCUAACUUUUUGUAUUUUUAGUAGAUACGGGGUUUCACCAUAUUGACCAGGAUGGUCUCAAUCUCUUGACCUCGUGAUUCACCCGCCUUGGCCUCCCAAAGUGCUGGGAUUACAGGUGUGAGCCACCGCGCCCAGCCAAUGACUGUUUUUUUUGUGUGUGCAGAAGCUCUGGAGUUUGAUUAGGUCCCAUUUGUCUAUUCUGGCUUUUGUUGCCAAUGCUUCUGGUGUUUUAGUCAUGCAGUCCUUGCCUAUGCCUAUGUCCUGAAUGGUUUUACCUAGAUUUUCUUCUAGGGUUUUUAUGGUGGUAGGUCUUAUGUUUAAAUCUUUAAUCCAUCUGGAGUUAAUUUUAGUGUAAGGUGUCAGGAAGGGGUCCAGUUUCUGCUUUCUGCACAUGGCUAGCCAGUUUUCCCAACACCAUUUAUUAAACAGGGAAUCGUUUCCCCAUUGCUUGUUUUUGUCAGGUUUGUCAAAGAUCAUAUGGCUGUAGAUGUGGGGUGUUGCCUCCAAGGCCUCUGUUCUGUUCCAUUGGUCUGGGUCUCUGUCUUGGUACCAGUACCAUGCUGUUUUGAUUACUGUAGCUUUGUAGUAUAGUUUGAAGUCAGGUAGCAUGAUCCCUCCAGCUUUGUUCUUUUUGCUUAGAAUUAGCUUGGCUGAGUGAGCUCUCUUUUGGUUCCGUAUGAAGUUUAGGGUGGUUUUUUUCCAGUUAUGUGAAGGUCAUCGGUGGCUUGAUGGGGAUAGCAUUGAAUCUGUAAAUUACUUUUGGCAGUAUGACCACUUUCAUGAUAUUGAUUCUUUUAACCAUGAGCAUGGAAUAUUUGUAUCCUCUCUUAUUUCAUUGAGCAGUGGUUUGUAGUUCUCCUUGAAGAGGCUCUUUACUUUCUUUGUUAGUUGUAUUCCUAGGUAUUUUAUUCUUCGCAGCAAUUGUGAAUAGCAGUUCGUUCUUAAUUUGGAUCUUUUUAUGUCUGUUAUUGGUGUAUAGGAAUGCUUGUGAUUUCUGCAUACUGAUUUUAUAUCCUGAGACUUUGCUGAAGUGGCUUAUCAGUUUCAGGAGAUUUUGGGCUGAGACGAUGGGGUCUUCUAAAUAUACAAUCAUAUCAUCUGCAAAUAGAAACAGUUUGAUUUCCUCCUUUCCUAAUUGAAUACCCUUUAUUUCUUUAUCUUGCCUGAUUGUUCUGGCUAGAACUUCCAAUACUAUAUUGAAUAGGAGUGGUGAGAGAGGGCAUCCUUGUCUAGUGCCAGAUUUCAAAGGGAAAGCUUUCAGUUUUUGUCCAUUCAGUAUGAUAUUGGCUGUGGGUUUGUCAUAAAUAGCCUUUAUUAUUUGGAGAUAUGUUCCAUCAAUACCUAGUUUUAUGAGAGUUUUAGAAUAAAGGCUGUUGAAUUUUGUCAGAGGCCUUCUUUGCAUCUAUUGAGAUAAUCAUGUGGUUUUUGUCUUUGGUUCUGUUUAUGUGGUGAAUUUAUAGACUUGCGUAUGUUAAACCAGCCUUGCAUCCCUGGGAUAAAGCCUACUUGAUCAUGAUGGAUAAGCUUUUUGAUAUUCUGUUGCAAUCGGUUUGCCAGUAUUUUAUUGAAGAUUUUUUGCGUCUAUGUUCAUCAUGGAUGUUGGCUUGAAAUUUUCUUUCCUUGUUGAGUCUCUGCCGGGUUUUGGUAUCAGGAUGAUGUUGGUCUCAUAAAAUGAUUUGGGAAGGAUUCCCUCUUUUUGGAUUGUUUGGAAUAGCUUCAGGAGGAGUGGUACCAGUUCCUCUUUGUAUGUCUGGUAGAAUCUGGCUGUGAACCCAUCUGAACCUGGGCUUUUUUUGGUUGGUAGGCUAUUAAUUGCUGCCUCAACUUCAGCCCUUGUUAUUGGUCUAUUCAGAGUUUUGACUUCUUCCUGGUUUAGCCUUGGGAGGAUGCAAGUAUCCAGGAAUUUAUCCAUUUCUUCCAGGUUUACUGGUUUAUGUGCAUAGAGUUGUUUGUAGUAAUCUCUGAUGGUGGUUUGUAUGUCUGUGGAAUCUGUGGUGAUAUCCCCUUUAUUGUUUUUUAUUGGAUCUAUUUGAUUAUUCUCUAUUUUCUUUUUUAUUAAUCUGGCUAGUGGUCUAUUUUGUUGAUCAUUUCAAAAAACCAGCUCCUGGACUGAUGAUUUUUUUUGAAGGGUUUUUUGUGUCUCUAUCUCCUUCUGUUCUGCUCUGAUGUUAGUUAUUUCUUGUCUUCUGCUAGGUUUUGAGUUUUUUUGAUCUUGCUCCUCUAGCUCUUUCAAUUUUGAUGACAAGGGUGUCGAUUUUAGAUCUUUCCUUGCUUCUCAUGUGGGCAUUUAUUGCUAUAUAUUUUCCUCUAGACACUGCUUUAAAUGUGUCCCAGAGAUUCUGGUAUGUUGUGUCUUCAUUCUCGUUGGUUUCGAAGAACAUCUUUAUAUCUGCCUUCAUUUGUUUAUCCAGUCAAGAUUCAAGAGCCAGUUGUUCAGUUUCCAUGAAGCUGUGCGGUUCUGAAUUAGUUUCUGAAUUCUGAGUUCUAACUUGAUUGCACAGUGGUCUGAGAGACUAUUAUGAUAUCUGUUCUUUUGCAUUUGCUGAGAAGUAAUUUACUUCUGAUUAUGUAGUCAAUUCUAGAGUAGGUGUGAUGUGGUGCUGAGAAGAAUGUAUAUUCUGUGAAUUUGGGGUGGAGAGUUCUGUAAGUGUCUAUUAGGUUUACUGGGUCCAGGUCUGAGUUCAAGUCCUGGAUAUCCUUGUUAAUUUUUUGUCUCAUUGAUCUGUCUAAUAUUGACAGUGGAGCAUUAAAGUCUCCCACUACUAUUGUGUGGGAGUCUUAAGUCUCUUUGGAAGUCAUUAAGAACUUGCUUUAUGUAUCUGGGUGCUCCUCUAUUGGGUGCAUAUAUAUUUAGGAUGGUUAGCUCUUCUUGUUGCAUUGAUCCUUUUACCAUUAUGUAAUGUCCUUCUUUGUCUCUUUUGCUCUUUGUUGUCCCCCCCUCCAUUAGUACUACUUUUGUUGUAUCCCAUAUGUUUUGGUAUGGUGUGUUUUCAUUUUCUUUCUUUCUUUAUUUUAAGAGAGAAAGAGAAAGGGGGAGAGAGAACAGGAGUCUUGCUCUGUUGCCCAGGCUGGAUUACAAUCUGAAAAUAGGUAUUAAAAACCUCUAUUAUACUGAAAAUUGUGCUUAACAAUGGAGACAGGAAGGAAUAAGGUAAGAAAAUAACAAUCAAACAGCCAACCAAUAUUUCAUUUAAGUCUGUGAAAUGCUAUGCAAAUGCUGAGGAGUGAUUUACUUUCAAUUAUGUGGUCACUUUCAAAAUAGGUGUAAUGUGAUACUGAGAAAAAUGUAUGUUCUGUGGACGUGGGGUGAAGAAUUCUAUAAAUAUUCACUGAGUUUACUUGUUCCAAGAUCUGAGUUCAAAUCACAGAUGUCCCUGUUAAUUUUCUAUCUCAUUGAUCCAUCGAAUAUUAACGAUGUGGUGUCAAAGUCUCCCGCUAUUAUUGUGCAGGACUCAAAGUCUCUUGUCUUAUGUAUCUGGGUAUUCCUAUAUUGAGUGCAUAUAUAUUUAUGAUCAUUGACUCCUGUUGUUGCAUUGAUCCUUUUACCAUUAUGUAAUGUCUUUGUUUUUUUUUUUAGUCUUUGUUACUAAAGUCUAUUUUGUCAGAGAUGAAAGUUACAACUCCUGUUUUUUGUUUUCCUCUCCAUUUGAUUGGUAAGUCUUCCACCAACCCUUUGAGUCUUGGUGUGUCCUUGCUUAUGAGAUGGUCUGGAUACAGUGUACUGAUGGGUUUUGACUUUUUAUUCAAUUUGCCUGUCUGUGUCUUUGAUUGGGGCAUUUAAUCCAUUUAAAUUUAGGAUUAAUAUUGAUAUUUGUGAGUUUAAUAUUGUCUUUUAAUGCUAGCUGGCAAUUUUUCCCAUUAUUUAAUAUAGAUUCUUCAUUAUGGAGAUACUCUUUACCUUUUGGUAAGCUUUUGGGAUGGCUGAUACCAGUUGUUUCUUUCUGUAUGUAAUGCUUCUUUAAGAAGUUCUUGUAAAGCAGGCCUGGUGGUGAUGAAAUCUCUGAGUGUUUGCUUGUUUGUGAAAAAUUUUAUUUUUCCUUCAUUUAUGAACCUUAGUUUGGCUGGAUAUGAGAUUCUAGGUUGAAAAUUAUUUUCUUUGAGGAUACUGAAUAUUGACCCCCACUCUCUUCUAGUUUGUAAGGUUUCUGCUGAGAGAUCUGCUGUGAGUCUGAUAGGCUUCCCUUUAUGGGUAACCUGACCUUUCUCUCUAGCUGCCCUUAGAGUUUUCUCCUUUAUUUCAACCCUGGUGAAUCUAAUGAUUAUGUGUCUUGGGGUUGCUCUACUUGAGGAAUAUCUUUGUGGUGGUCUCUGUAUUACCUGGCAUUGAGUAUUGUCCUGCCUUACUAGGUUAGGAAAGUUUUCCUGAAUAAUAUCCUGAAGAAUAUUUUCCAGCUUGGGUUCAUUCUCUUCAUGACAUUCAGGUACACCUAUCAAAUGUAAACUAGGUCUUUUCACAUAGUACCAUAUUUCUUGGAGACUUUGCUCAUUCCAUUUAACUCUUUUCUCUCUAGUCUUGCCUUCUCAUUUUAUUUCAUUGAGAUGAUCUUCAAACUCUGAUAUCGUUUCUUCUUCUUGGUCACUUCGGCUACUGAAACUUGUGUAUGCUUCGUGAUGUUCUUGUGUUUUUCAGCUCCAUCAAUUCAUUUAUGUUCCUCUCUAAGCUGUCUAUUCUCGUUAGCAUUUCGUCAGACCGUUUUUCAGGGUUCUUUGUUUACAUUCAGAGCUGCUGGGCAUGUACGUUUAAGUCUGCUGUAGCAGAACUCAUAACCACCUUUUUUUCCCCAGGUGCUCUGUCCUGGGAAGUUAGGGCUUUAUUUACAAGUUUGUCAUGCUGCUGCCUUUUUUCAAGGAUGUCCUGCCCAGUGAGGAGACAGCCUAGUCACAGUCUGCUAGCAGAGGCAUUGCUGAUCUGCUGUGGGCUCUGCCCAGUUGCUGUGUGAACUUCCCUGCAGUCCUGCUUAUAGGGGUAUAGUUAGAACUGCUCCAGCAAUGGCGACCUGCCUCUGUAAUGACAGAUUGCCUUGGCAAUAGCAGACUGUCUCUGUAGUGGCGGAUCACCUCGGUAGUGGUGGACUACCUUGGAAAUGGCGCCUGGAUUUGUGUGAGUUCUUGUGCAAAGACCUGCUGUGGUGGCUGAAAUAGUUGUGCUGGGGGCUCGUGGUGCUUUUUUGCCCAGGAAUCUCCUGGCCUGGCUCCCUGUUUCAGUCCUCUUUUUUUCAGUUGAAUGGGCUACUCUCCUGGGCGUUCCAGUCGCCAGUUGAAAAGGCACCCGGAUUUGUGUGAGAUUUUGUGCGGAGAACCACUGUGCCAUCUGUGCUUUUCUGCCCGGGAAUCUCCUGGCCUGGCUCCCUAUAUCAGUACCCUUUUUAUCAGUUAAAUGAGUGACUCUGUCUUCCUGGCCCUCCCAUCACCAGCUGAAAUGGCGCCUGGAACUGUGUGAAUUUUCUGAGUGUAGAGCUGUCAUGCCAGCUGAAAUAGCCACGCUGGAGACCUGUGGUGCUCCUCCACCCGGGAAUCUUCUGGUUAGUGGGCAAUAAAAAUCCGUUUGUAAAUGUGGUAACCACUCACCCUCUGCACGCUUGCUGGGAGCUGCAAUCCAGAGCUGCUCCUACUUGGCCCUCUUGGAUCCCCUCUGACAACCUAUUUUCGCAACUGCCUGCACAUCUCAUUGUGGCCCUCAGGAUGUGGCUGGCUCCUGUGCUGAGCAGAGUGACUCAUGUGAGGUCAUUUCCGCAGCCAAGUGCAUCCUCCCACCACUUCACAGAUGGCAACUUCUGCCUGUGCGUCCUCAGACUCACACUCUCCACAGAGUGAGACUUCCAUUGACUGCCAUUAACUCCCUGACUUAAAAUAUUUCAUGUCUCUUUGUGAAUGAGGGUCCUUUAUGCUGAAUGUUAUUUAAGCUGUAGGUUUUUGUUUUUGUACAGGAUAGAAAACAGAUGAACACAUACAUUAUAAGAUGGUCUCUCUGUAUAAAUAAUGCACGGUCCAGAUGCUUAUGGUUUGGAAUUGUUAGUAUAACAUAUGCUUCCACUCAGAAAUGGUUCAGUGUGGCUCCAUUCUGAAACAGCUCCUGCCUUAGCACUGACACGCUUGUCUUACGCUUGGUCUGAUUUUGGCAGAUCCACAGGUACCUUCAUGCCAAAGGCUGUGUCCCGAUGAUGCUGCUUGUGCCUGGCCCAGAGGAGAGGCUCUGAGUGGUGGUACUACUUCUGUCAUCAUCGGGGCCACUGUCGCCCCUCCUCCCCCUCCUGCUCACCAGCAAGGGCCAUUGACUCGGCCCCUGAGGACCAUCAAGGGCCACUGAAUGCACCUUGCCGUGGUAUGCACCCUGCAACCGAGCAGCACUGGCGAGCCGUUGGAGGCCAGAGCUCAGAUGCAGAAGAAGAUGAUACCUGGAUUGGAACUCCUGCAGUCUCCAUUCAGGGAACGGCGCAGGGGCAGGACCCGAGGAGGGAAAGGUGUCAGCAUGGAAGGACGGGCACAAGGAGCUCCUCAGAAGUGGGACUCAGGGAGCCGGGGGCUUAGCGCUCCCCACCAGCUGCAGCUGACAUCUGCGAGAGGAAGCUGUGGGCCUCACCUGGCGAUCUUGUCAGUGCAGGACAUGGUAACCAGCUGCUCCCCCAGCAGGAUGCCGUCCCAGGUCUGCACUGCACUGGAACCACGCACGGGGACCGUCCCUUCCCCGGACUCUAUCUUGGUGCGCAGGUGCCCGCGGAACUUCCUGACCAGGUGUUUGCUGCUGUGCACUAGGAGAGAAGAGGGCGGAGAGGUGAGAAGAGGCAAGCUGCCUUGGUUUUGAGGGGUGGGAGGGGAGGAAGGGCUGCCAUGGAGGUUAAAGUCUCCCAUGCUAUGGCUGGGCAUGUGGCAUGGGGAAGGGGCUUCAGAAGCAAGUGCAGUGUGGGGGUAGUCUCCAGAGCCACAGCAUCUGGCCUUGGCUGGGAGUAAAACCCCCAGCUUCAUGGGCCAAACUCUCUUCUCACCAAACCCACCUCUGCUGGGUAAGCACAGCUGCAGCCUAAACCAUGCUCAGGUGAGCACGUGCCAUUGCCUCCCCAGGUACUUCAUUACAGACACAGUCUUGAACCCACAGUUGGAUGUGUAGUUUUCAGGUGUCAUGAAAUACCAUUUUCUCACUUUUGCAGCCAUUAAAAAUGUAAAUAUGCUCAGCAGGAGGGCUGUGCAGAAAUAGGUGAUGAGUGGAGCUUGGCUCUUAUCCUUGUCUAGAUGUCAAUUCUGGCCCCAUGGGAACCUGGAGAAAGUUUCUCAGAGUCUCUGUGACCUGGUUCUUCCUCUAACUAAGGGGUAAUAGGAGUGCUGGUUGCCCCAGCUCUGAGGAGUCAGUGAGGCAGCUCCUGUGAAAGUGCAGGGAUAGCCUGGGUGCCUCUGCUCUUGCUGCAUCCCCCGAUUACUGAGGGUCUCUACAGGCAGGAGCUCUGCCAGGCUCAGAAGUGACGGAGCCUCUGGUGGGUCUCUGUGGGCCCCUCAGGUGUUCUGUGUUCUACUUUCCAUGGUCCCCUCAAAACCCCUGCCCCCUGCACCCCAUACCCCACAGUUACUUGGAGAAUGAGCAGGAGCAAGAGGAAGAUUAAAAGCUUAAAUGUUUUUUUCUUUCUUUGACAAAUUUUUUUUUUUUAGAUGGAGUCUCGCUUUGUCACCCUAGCUGGAAUGCAGUGUGGCAUGAUCUCGGCUCAUGCAACUCCUGCCUCGCAGAUUUAAAUGAUUCUGCCACCUCAGCCUCCUGAGUAGCUGGGAUUACAGGCCCCUGCCACCAUGCCCAGCUAAUUUUUGUAUUUUCAGUAGUGACAGGUUUUUGCCAUGUUGGCUAGGCUGGUCUUGAACUCCUGACCUCAGGUGAUCCACCCGCCUCAGCCUCACAAAAGUGCUGGGAUUGUAAGGGUAAGCCACAGCACCCAGCCAAAAUUGUGUAUGUUAAAUCUGGAUUAUAUUGUAAUAUAGAAAUGGUCCUGAGGAGGGAUCCAAGAUGGCUGAUUAGGAGCAGCUCUGGAUUGCAGCUCCCAGCAAGAGCACAGAGGGUAAGUGGACACUGCAUUUCCAGAUGGAUUUUUAUUGCUCACAGACCAGGAGAUUCCUGGGUGGAGGAGCACCCUGGGUCACCAGCACGGCUGUUUUGGCUGGCAUGGCAGGUCGCCGCACAAAAAACUCACACGGGUCCAGGUGCCAUUUCAGCUGGCGACUGCAGUGCCUGGUUGACAGAGUCGCCCGUUCAAUUGAUAAAAAGGGGACUGAAACAGGGAGCCAGGCCAGGAGAUUCCAGGGUGAAAAAGUGCCAAGAAUCUCCAGCACGGCUGUUUGAGCUGGCGCAGUGGGUCUCUGCACAGGAAAUCACACAGAUCUGGGCACCUUUUCAACAGGUGACGGGAAACACCUGGGAGACAGAGUCGCCCAUUCACCUGAAAAAAGGGGACCGAAACAGGGAGCCAGGCCAGGAGAUUCCAGGGUGAAAAAGUGCCAAGAAUCUCCAGCACGGCUGUUUGAGCUGGCGCAGUGGGUCUCUGCACAGGAAAUCACACAGAUCUGGGCACCUUUUCAACAGGUGACGGGAAACACCUGGGAGACAGAGUCGCCCAUUCACCUGAAAAAAGGGGACCGAAACAGGGAGCCAGGCCAGGAGAUUCCAGGGUGAAAAAGUGCCAAGAAUCUCCAGCACGGCUGUUUUGGCUGGCAUGGCAGGUCGCCGCACAAAAAAACUCACACGGGUCCAGGUGCCAUUUCAGCUGGCGACUGCAGUGCCUGGUUGACAGAGUCGCCCGUUCAAUUGAUAAAAAGGGGACUGAAACAGGGAGCCAGGCCAGGAGAUUCCAGGGUGAAAAAGUGCCAAGAAUCUCCAGCACGGCUGUUUGAGCUGGCGCAGUGGGUCUCUGCACAGGAAAUCACACAGAUCUGGGCACCUUUUCAACAGGUGACGGGAAACACCUGGGAGACAGAGUCGCCCAUUCACCUGAAAAAAGGGGACCGAAACAGGGAGCCAGGCCAGGAGAUUCCAGGGUGAAAAAGUGCCAAGAAUCUCCAGCACGGCUGUUUGAGCUGGCGCAGUGGGUCUCUGCACAGGAAAUCACACAGAUCUGGGCACCUUUUCAACAGGUGACGGGAAACACCUGGGAGACAGAGUCGCCCAUUCACCUGAAAAAAGGGGACCGAAACAGGGAGCCAGGCCAGGAGAUUCCAGGGUGAAAAAGUGCCAAGAAUCUCCAGCACGGCUGUUUUGGCUGGCAUGGCAGGUCGCCGCACAAAAAACUCACACGGGUCCAGGUGCCAUUUCAGCUGGCGACUGCAGUGCCUGGUUGACAGAGUCGCCCGUUCAAUUGAUAAAAAGGGGACUGAAACAGGGAGCCAGGCCAGGAGAUUCCAGGGUGAAAAAGUGCCAAGAAUCUCCAGCAUGGCUGUUUGAGCUGGCGCAGUGGGUCUCUGCACAGGAAAUCACACAGAUCUGGGCACCUUUUCAACAGGUGACGGGAAACACCUGGGAGACAGAGUCGCCCAUUCACCUGAAAAAAGGGGACCGAAACAGGGAGCCAGGCCAGGAGAUUCCCAAGUGGAAAACUGCCACAAGUGUCCAGCACAGCCAGUGCAGUGGGUCUUUGUACAAAAUCUCACACAAAUCCAGGUACCUUUUGAACCGGUAACUGGAACACCUGGGAGACAGAGUCGCCCGUUCAACUGAAACAAAAGGGGACUGAAACAGAGGCAGGCCAGGAGAUUCCUGGGUGAAAAAGCGCCAUGAGCCCCCAGUGUGGCUGUUUCAGCUGGUGCAGCUCUGCACAAGAAAUCACACAAAUCCCGGUGCCAUUUCAACUGGUGACUGGAACACCUGGGAGAGUCACCCAUUCAACUUAAAAAAAAAAAAAAAAAAAAAAAAAAAGGAUUGGAGGCAGGGAGCCAGGUCAUCAGGCUCAGCCGAUCCCACCCCCCACAAAGACCAGCAAUCUGAAACACUCUGGAUUGUGAGUUUCACAGCAAGCACAGCUGAACCUGGGACAGUCUAGCUCUGUGGGGGAGGGGCAUCUGCCAUUACAGAGGCAGCUUGCCAUUGCUGAUGCAGUCUGUCAUUAUAGAGUCCGCCAUUGCUGAGGCAGUUCUAACUAUACCCCUAUAAACAGGACUGCAGGGAAAUUCACAUGGCAGCUGGGCAGAGCCCACAGCAGAUCAGCAAUGCCUCUGUGGCAGACUGUGACUAGGCUGCCUCCUCACUGGGCACGACAGACCUGAAAAAAGGCAGCAGCACAACAAACUUACAAAUAAAGCCCUACCAUCCCAGGAGACAGCACCUGGGGGAAAAAAGGCGAUUAUGAGUUCUGCUGCAGCAGACUUAAAUGUACCUGCCCAGCAACUCUUAAUGGAACAAUGGAGCUCACAGCUCAGCACUUAAGCUUUUAUAAAGGACAGACUGUCUCCUCAAGCAGCUCUCCGACCCCCAUAUAUCCAAAGAGUCACCUGAUAAAAGAGAGCUCAGACUGACAUCUGGCAGGUAUCCUUCUGGGACAAAGAUAGCAGCAGAAGAAACUGGCAGCAACCCUUACUGUUCUGCAGCUGCUGCAGGGAAUCCCCAGGCAAGCAGGGUCUGGAGUGGACCUCAGCAGUCCUACAGCAGAGGGGCCUGUUAGAAGGAAAACUAAGAAACAGAAAUAACUUCAUCAUCAACAAACUGGAUAUCCACAGGAUUUAUUUACCUGUGGUCUUUGUAGUUGGUGACUUUCAGAGACCCCAUCUGAAAGUCACUAACUACAAAGACCACAGGUAAAUAAAUCCACAAAGAUGGAAAGAAACCAGCGCAAAAAGGAUGAAAACACCCAAAACCAGAAUGCCUCUCCACCUCAAAGGGAUCACAACUCCUCACCAGCAAGGGAUCAAGGCUGGAUGGAGAAUGAGUCUGAUGAAUUGACAGAAACAGGCUUCAGAAGGUGGGAAAUAAGAAACUCCUCUGAGCUAAAAGAACAUUUUCUAACCCAAUGCAAAGAAACUAAGGACGUUGAAAAAAGGUCUGACAAAAUGCUAAGAGAAUAAACAGCUUAGAGAGGAACAUAAAUGAAUUGAUGGAGCUGAAAAAUACAACAUGAGAACAUUGUGAAGCAUACACAAGUUUCAGUAGCCAAAUUGACCAAGCAGAAGAAAGGAUAUCAGAGUUUGAAGAUCAUCUCAAUGAAAUAAAACAAGAAGGCAAGACUAGAGAAAAAAAGAGUUAAAUGGAAUGAGCAAAGUCUCCAAGAAAUAUGGGACUAUGUGAAAAGACCUAGUUUACGUUUGAUAGGUGUGCCUGAAUGUCAUGAAGAGAAUGAAUCCAAGCUGGAAAAUACUCUUCAGGAUAUUAUUCAGGAAAACUUUCCUAACCUAGUAAGGCAGGACAAUACUCAACUCCAGGUAAUAUAGAGAACACCACAAAGAUAUUCCUCAAGUAGAGCAACCCCAAGACACAUAAUCAUUAGAUUCACAAGAGUUGAAAUAAAAGAGAAAAUUCUAAGGGCAACUAGAGAGAAAGGUCAGGCUACCCAUAAAGGGAAGCCUAUCAGACCCACAGCAGAUCUCUCAGUAGAAACCUUACAAACUAGAAGAGAGGGGGGGUCAAUAUUGAGUAACCUCAAAGAAAAGAAUUUUCAACCUAGAAUCUCAUAUCCAGCCAAACUAAGGUUCAUAAAUGAAGGAAAAAUAAAAUUUUUCACAAAUAAGCAAGCACUCAGAGAUUUCAUCACCACCAGGCCUGCUUUACAAGAGCUUCUUAAAGAAGCAUUACAUACAGAAACAACCAGUAUCAGUCAUCCCAAAAGCAUACCAAAAGGUAAAGAGUAUCUCCAUAAUGAAGAAUCUAUAUUAAAUAAUGGGAAAAAUUGCCAGCUAGCAUUACAAGACAAUAUUAAACUCACAAAUAUCAAUAUUAAUCCUAAAUUUAAAUGGAUUAAAUGCCCCAAUCAAAGACACAGACAGGCAAAUUGAAUAAAACGUCAAAACCCAUCAGUGCACUGUAUCCAGAUCCAUCUCAUAAGCAAGGACACACAAAGACUCAAAACAGAGGAUUGGUGGAAGACUUACCAAUAAAAUGGAGAGGAAAAAAACAAAACAAAACAGGAGUUGUAACUUUCAUCUCUGACAAAAUACACAUUAAUAGUAACAAAGACUAAAAGAAACAAAGAAGGACAUUACAUAAUGGUAAAAGGAUCAAUGCAACAACAGGAGUCAAUGAUCAUAAAUAUAUAUGCACUCAAUAUAGGAAUACCCAGAUACAUAAGACAAGAGACUUUGAGUCCUGCACAAUAAUAGUGGGAGACUUUGACACCACAUCGUUAAUAUUCGAUGGAUCAACGAGAUAGAAAAACAGGGACAUCUAUGAUUAGAACUCAGAACUGGAACAAGUAAACUCAGUGAAUAUUUGUAGAAUUCUUCACCCCAGGUUCACAGAACAUACAUUUUUCUCAGUAUCACAUUACACCUAUUUUGAAAGUGACCACAUAAUUGAAAGUAAAUCACUCCUCAGCAUUUGCAUAGCAUUUCACAGACUUAAAUGAAAUAUUGGUUGGCUGUUUGUUUGUUAUUUUCUUACCUUAUUCCUUCCCGUCUCCACUGUUAAGCAUAAUUAUUGGUAUAAAAUAGGUUUUUAAUACCUAUUUUCAGAUUGUAAUCCAGCCUGGGCAAUAGAGCAAGACUCCUGUUCUCUCUCCCCCUUUCUCUCUCUUAAAAAAAAAAAAAAGAAAGAAAAUGAAAACACACCAUACCAAAACAUGGGAUACAACAAAAGUAGUACUAAUGGGGGGGGACAACAAAGAUCAAAAGAGACAAAGAAGGACAUUACAUAAUGGUAAAAGGAUCAAUGCAACAAGAAGAGCUAACCAUCCUAAAUAUAUAUGCACCCAAUAGAGGAGCACCCAGAUACAUAAAGCAAGUUCUUAAUGACUUCCAAAGAGACUUAAGACUCCCACACAAUAGUAGUGGGAGACUUUUAACACUCCACUGUCAAUAUUAGACAGAUCAACGAGAUAAAAAAUUAACAAGAAUAUCCAGGACUUGAACUCAGACCUGGACCCAGCAAACCUAAUAGACAUUUACAGAACUCUCCACCCCAAAUUCACAGAAUAUACAUUCUUCUCAGCACCACAUCACACCUACUCUAGAAUUGACCACAUAAUCAGAAAUAAAUCACUCCUCAGCAAAUGCAAGAACAGAAAUUAUAACAGUCUUUCAGACCACAGUGCAAUCAAGUUAGAACUCAGAAUUCAGAAACUAAUUUAGAAUUGCACAGCUUCAUGGAAACUGAACAACUGGCUCUUGAAUCUUGACUGGAUAAACAAAGAAAUGAAGGCAGAUAUAAAGAUGUCUUCGAAACCAAUGAGAAUGAAGACACACCGCACCAGAAUCUCUGGGACACAUUUAAAGCAGUGUCUAGAGGAAAACAUAUAGCAAUAAAUGACCACAUGAGAAGCAAGGAAAGAUCUAAAAUUGACACCCUUGUCAUCAAAAUUGAAAGAGCUAGAGGAGCAAGAUCAAAAAAACUCAAAACCUAGCAGAAGACAAGAAAUAACUAAAAUCAGAGGAGAUAGAGAAACAAAAAACCCUUCAAAAAAAAAAUCAUCAGUCCAGGAGCUGGUUUUUUGAAAGGAUCAACAAAAUAGACCACUAGCCAGAUUAAUAAAAAAGAAAAUAGAGAAUAAUCAAAUAGAUCCAAUAAAAAACAAUAAAGGGGAUAUCACCACAGAUUCCACAGACAUACAAACCACCAUCAGAGAUUACUACAAACAACUCUAUGCACAUAAACCAGUAAACCUGGAAGAAAUGGAUAAAUUCCUGGAUACUUGCAUCCUCCCAAGCCUAAACCAGGAAGAAGAAGAAACCCUGAAUAGACCCAUAACAAGGGCUGAAGUUGAGGCAGCAAUUAAUAGCCUAUCAACCAAAAAAAGCCCAGGUUCAGAUGGGUUCACAGCCAGAUUCUACCAGACAUACAAAGAGGAGCUGGUACCACUCCUCCUGAAGCUAUUCCAAACAAUCCAAAAAGAGGGAAUCCUUCCGAAAUCAUUUUAUGAGACCAACAUCAUCCUGAUACCAAAACCCAGCAGAGACUCAACAAGAAAAGAAAACUUGAGGCUAAUAUCCAUGAUGAACAUAGACACAAAAAAUCUUCAGUAAAAUACUGGCAAACCAAUUGCAACAGCACAUCAAAAAGCUUAUCCAUCAUGAUCAAGUAGGCUUCAUCCCAGGGAUGCAAGGCUGGUUCAACAUACGCAAGUCUAUAAAUACACCACAUAAACAGAACCAAAGACAAAAACCACAUGAUUAUCUCAAUAGAUGCAAAGUCUCAGGAUAUAAAAUCAGUAUGCAGAAAUCACAAGCAUUCCUAUACACCAAAGUUUUUAGUAUAAAGGCCUCUGACAAAAUUCAACAGCCUUUAUACUAAAAACUCUUAUAAAACUAGGCAUUGAUGGAACAUAUCUCAAAAUAACAAAGGCUAUUUAUGACAGACCCACAGCCAAUAUCACACUGAAUGGACAAAAUCUGGAAACUUUCCCUUUGAAAUCUGGCACUAGACAAGGAUGCCCUCUCUCACCACUCGUAUUCAAUAUAGUAUUGGAAGUUCUAGCCAGAACAAUCAGGCAAGAAAAAGAAAUAAAGGGUAUUCAAUUAGGAAAGAAGGAAAUCAAACUGUUUCUAUUUGCAGAUGACAUGAUUGUAUAUUUAGAAGACCCCAUCGUCUCAGCCCAAAAUCUCCUGAAACUGAUAAGCCACUUCAGCAAAGUCUCAGGAUAUAAAAUCAGUAUGCAGAAAUCACAAGCAUUCCUAUACACCAAUAACAGACAUAAAAAGAUCCAAAUUAAGAACGAACUGCCAUUCACAAUUGCUACAAAGAGAAUAAAACACCUAGGAAUACAACUAACAAAGAAUGUAAAGGACCUCUUCAAGGAGAACCGAUUGCUCAAUGAAACAAACCACUGCUCAACGAAAUAAGAGAGGACAUAAACAGAUGGAGAAACAUUCCAUGCUCAUGGUUAGAAGAAUCAAUAUCAUGAAAAUGGCCAUACUGCCCAAAGUAAUUUACAGAUUUGAUGCUAUCCCCAUCAAGCCACCGAUGACCUCCUUCACAGAACUGGAAUAAACUACCCUAAACUUCAUAUGGAACCAAAAGAGAGCUCACACAGCCAAGCUAAUUCUAAGCAAAAAGAACAAAGCUGGAGGGAUCACACUACCUGACUUCAAACUAUACUACAAAGCUACAGUAAUCAAAACAGCAUGGUACAGGUACCAAAACAGAGAUACACAACAAUGGAACAGAACAGAGGCCUUGGAGGCAAUACCACACAUCUAUAGCCAUAUGAUCUUUGACAAACCUGACAAAAACAAGCAAUGGGGAAACAAUUCCCUGUUUAAUAAAUGGUGUUGGGAAAACUGGAUAGCCAUGUGCAGAAAGCAGAAACUGGACCCCUUCCUGACACCUUACACUAAAAUUAACUCCAGAUGGAUUAAAGACUUAAACAUAAGACCUACCACCAUAAAAACCCUAGAAGAAAAUCUAGGUAAAACCAUUCAGGACAUAGGCAUAGGCAAGGACUUCAUGACUAAAACACCAAAAGUAUUGGCAACAAAAGCCAAAUAGACAAAUGGGACCUAAUCAAACUCCAGAGCUUCUGCACAGCAAAAGAAACAGUCAUUAGAGUGACUCGGCAACCAACAGAAUGGGAAAAAAUUUUUGCAAUCUACCCAUCUGACAAAGGGCUAAUAUCCACAAUCUACAAAGAACUAGAACAGAUUUACAAGGAAAAAACAAGCCCAUUCAAAAGUGAGCAAAGGAUAUGAAUAGACACUUUACAAAAGAAGACAUAUAUGAGGCCACGAAACAUAGGAAAAAAUGCUCAUCAUCUCUGGUCAUUAGAGAAAUGCAAAUCAAAACUGCAUUGAGAUACCAUCUCACAUCAGUUAGAAUGGCGAUCAUUAAAAAAUCUGGAGACAUGCUGGAGAGGAUGUGGAGAAAUAGGAACACUUUUACACUGUUCGUGGGAGUGUAAAUUAGUUUAACCACUGUGGAAGACAGUGUGGUGAGUCCUCAAAGAUCUAGAAAUAGAAAUUCCAUUUGACCCAGCAAUCCCAUUACUGGGUAUAUACCCAAAGGAUUAUAAAUCGUUCUACUAUAAGGACACAUGCACACAAAUAUUCAUUGCAGCACUGUUUACAAUAGCAAAUACUUGGAACCAACCCAAAUGCCCAUCGAUGAUAGACUGGACAGGGAAAAUGUACAUAUACACCAUGGAAUACUAUGCAGCCAUUAAAAACGAUGAGUUUGUGUCCUUUUUAGGGACAUGGAUGAACCUGGAAACCAUCAUUCUUAGCAAACUGACACAAGAACAGAAAAUCAAACACCGCAUGUUCUCACUCAUAGGUAGGUAUUGAACGAUGAGAACACAUGGACACAGGGAGUGGAGCAUCACACACUGGGGUCUGUGGAGGGGGGAACCAGGGUAGGGACAGCAGGGUGUGGGGAGUUGGGGAGGGAUAACAUGGGGAGAAAUGCCAGAUAUAGGUGAUGGGGAGGAAGGUAGCUAUCUUGCAUGUUCUUCACAUGUACCCCAAAACCUAAAAUGCAAUAAAAUAUAUAUUUUUAAAAAUGGCCCACUACUUUACAUAUGAAUAUGUAAAAUACAGUGAAUCUAUCAUUUACACAUGUAAGUGAAUAUUAAAUGCUUUCCUUAGAAAGUUUAAGAAGCUGUUGAAAUGGUAUUUCCCCAUUUUCUCUCACCGACGGUCCUGGAUAUGGCUGGGAUCUGUGUCCCCACCGAAAUUUAGUGACAUGUAAUACCCAGUGUAGGAGGUGGAGAUGAUUGGAUAAUGGGGCGGAUUUUUCAUGCAGUUAGUACCAUCCCCUUGGUGCUGUCCUUGAGGUGAUGAAUGGUUCUCAUGAGAUCUGGUUAUUUACAAGUGUGUGGCAUCUCCCUCACCUCUCUCUCUCACUCAUCUCCCCUCUCUCUCACUCUCAUCUCCCCUCUCUCUCACUCUCAUCUCCCUCCCUCCUUCAUUUCCCCCCUUCUUGCUCAUCUCCCCCUUCUCUCUCAUCUCCCUACCUUGCUCUUCUCCCCGACUCAUCUCUCCCCAGCUCAUCUCCCCACUUUCUCACUUAUCUCUCCCCCACCCCCCGCUCAUCUCCCUGACUUCUUGCUCCUGCUCUGGUCAUGUCACCUUCUGCCAUGAUUGUGAGCUUCCUGAGGCCUCCCCAGAUGCCUAGCAGAUGCCAGUAUCAUGCUUCUGGUACAGCCUGCAGAAACUUGAGUCCAUUAAAUCUCCUUUCUUUAUAAAUUACCCAGUCUCAGGUAUUUCUCUAGAGCAAUAUGAGAAUGGACUAAUAUGGUGCUGAAUGGUUAACUAUUGCUUGGGUUUAUACAGGAACUUUCUCCUACAGAUCCCAAGUAAUUUUCAGUGUAUUUCCUGUUUGUUUCUAAGAGCUGACAUUCUUGCACUCUACAUUCAUAGUAUCUAAAGGCUAUGCCUUGGGAAGAAAGAUUGGUGUAUUCUUUGGAGAAAGUAAACUUUUGAGAGGCUUCAGAUGGCUUUUCGCUUUGUAACCCACUAGAUAACUUAAUGAGAUAAAAUUUGGACCGGUCUUUAAGUCAUCCAUGGAAAAAAGAGCCAAGGAGAGGGAUUGAGCCUGGGUAGGCACAGCAAAUGAAUGCCCAGCCCUUCCCUAGAUAAAGCACAAAUCUCUUCUUUGCAGCUUUGGUGGUGAUGGUGAUGAUGAUGGUGGUGGUGAUGACAGUGAAGAUAAUGAUGGCAAUGGUGAUGAUGGUGGAGAUGAUGGUGGGGAUGGGGAUGGUGAUAAUGAAAGUGAUGAAGAUAAUGGUGAUAGUGGUGAUGAUGAUCAUGAUGGUGAUGGUAAUGACGGUGGUGGUGAUGGGGAUGGUGAUAGAAUGGUGAUGAUAAUGAAAGUGAUGGUGAAGGUAAUGGCAAUGGUGACGGUGGUGGUACUGAUUAUGAUGAUGAUGAUGAUCAUGAUGGUGAUGGUGAUAAUGGUGGUAGUGAGGGGGAUGGUCACCAGAUGGUGAUGGUGGUGAUGAUGAUAAUAAAGGUGAUGGUGAUGAUGAUGAUACACUGAACAUAAAGUAGUUCAUAUAACUCUAAACACUUGGUUUAAACUGACUUUUUACAGGUGGGGGUCUUUAUGAACGUCAACUUUCUGUGGAAGACAACACUGAAAGCAUGGAGGAGCCAUCACACCUAACACCUUCCACAACAUUACCACAAUAUUAGGAACUUUACACUUCCAUUUUGGGUAUAUUUUCUCAGGGAAUAUGGCUGUUGCUGUACUUCCAUUUCUGUUAAUUAUAGUAUUCUUAUAUCCUCCCAAUAUUUCAACUAUUGAGGUCUUUUCUGAGAUCUUGAAUGUUGCCUGUUUUAUUGUAAGGCCUUUCCAAAUUCUUACCGGUUGCUACUGCACAACUAACUUUCCAUGAAGUAGACUUCAUAGCCUUUUAAUGCCAUGACAACAGGGAAGCCCAGCUUUAAUUAACAACUGGUUCCUAGGAGGUAACCCAAAGCUUUCAGAUUAGACUAAUUCUGCCUGAAGAGCCAGGUGCAUGAGGUACUUCUGUUUAUUUUCAGAGGUGUUCAGUCAUGGGCUGCCUUCUCCGCAGGCUCCCUGAUGAGUUCGAGCAGCCCCAGGGCGGCCUGAAUGUCGGGGAUCUUGCAGAGCCCAUUUCCUCUGGCUCCUUCCUGGCUAAUUGUGAGAGGCAGGAAGGAGCUGAAGAUGCCACUUAAGGCUGGACAAAAUGCCAAUCCACCUCGCAAUUGCAGGGAGUGGGCCUCAAAUGAUCUGUAGUGCAUUUAGAGUGUGCCUGAGACAGUGGAAGUUAGAUCUUCAAAAUCCUGCCCGCUGUGUAUACACAGAUGCUCCAAAAGUCAUAUAAACAUUCUGGUCCAAUUCUGACAGUCCAAGUCAUUAGACUCUUCACUACAGUGUUUAUUGCCUAGAUAAAACUCUAGAUAAAACACUUAACUUUUGAGAUCAAUGUUAAGGUAAAUGAGGAUAGUUUUUAGAGCCUCAUUUCUUUUUUUUUUGAGAUGGAGUUUUGCUGCUGUUACUCAGACUGGAGUGCAGUGGCACGAUCUCGGCUCACCACAACCUCUGCCUCCUGGGUUCAUGCAAUUCUCCUGCCUCAGCCUCCUGAGUAGCUGAGACUACAGGUGCGCACCACCAUGCCCAGCUAAUUUUGGUAUUUUUAGUAGAGACGGGGUUUCACCUUGUUGACCAGGAUGGUCUCGAUCUCUUGACCUCGUGAUCCACCCGCCUCGGCCUCCCAAAGUGCUGGGAUUAUAGGCGUGAGCCACUGCGCCUGGCCUAGAUCCUCAUGAGGAUUUGCUUUAAAAAAUUGUUCAAGUAAAUGUUUUAUUUUUAGGGGAGAAUCAAAAGGAGCUGGAGACAAACAAGAGGUUUUCCUCUGGGGAGCUAAAGAUUUAUCUAAAGAGAGAUGCAUGGUUGCUAUGACAAGGGGGAGAGAGAGUGCCAAAAAUGAAACAAACCACAGGUAUUAGAAAAGAAGAAAAUAUUUGUAAGCACCAAGUACAUUUUAGACUUUCAAACUGUCUUGCAAAGUUUUAUCCCAGGACGUCUGCCUGUGAAGCAAGCCGGUAUCCACUGUAGUAAUAUCCACAGUAGUUACCGUGUGGCCAUGUGGGUGCGCUUUGCCUUAUUUGAUUGAUGAUGAUAGUGAUGAUGCUGGAUUAUGCUAUUUAAAUUCACUAUCCUACAAUGCACGGAUAUGAUCAUAUUUUCCAUAUUUCUGUUACUCAAUAGGAAAAUCAGAAGACAGGAAUUUAAGGAACUGUAUUUUAUAUUCCCUGACUUCUUAUGAGAUUUUGGUUAAAUCUCUUGAACUGCCUUUCUAUUCGAUGAAUGGAAUUGGCUUAGAACAAAUGUACUAGGCUUUUAGCAUGAACCUGUAGGUAAAUAUAUGACAUAAUCUAUUUUUCCUGGCAUUUUCUGGAUACAGACUGGAGAAUUUAAGCUGUUAAGUUCUCAGAAAAUGACUGUAAGAACUGAAUUUACCAGGCUAUUUAAAAACCAUGCCAAGAAGGAAGAAUCUGCAGGUAGGUUGUUGGUGGGUUGGGAGGAGAAGAGCUGCUCAACCACAGUGAAGUGCUGAGGUCCUCAUCUUCUGCUCCAUUUGGGCCCUUUCAGAACUGCCUGAGUUCUCGCCCAGGCCAUGAAGGAACUGGUUACCCUCUGAGCCUUGGCUGAGAGCAGUCAUCGGAAACCUGACUGACAUAGACACACAGCUAUGUUCUCCUGGCUGUGGGAAGAAAUGUCUUUCAGGCAUUUGUCCUUACCUUAACUGACCUGGCCCUUCUAGGGCCAGGAGAAAGCCACACGUGUGACAGUUUUGAGUCAGCUGAGAUGAACGGAGUAGGCCUGGGUCUCAGGAUAUUGAAGACCAAGUCCGUAGUCUCUGUUACAGAAGCAACUUUCCCCUUUUCUGCAUGCGAUACACCAUAGACAAGUUUCUUUCCUGCCCAUGAUGCUGCUGAGCUGGGAGUCUGGCCGUAAGCUCUGCCUGCCCUCUGGAGACAGACAGGCUACCAGGCCAUCCAUGCCUCCAACCCCUUUCUACAAAGCCAGCAAGGCAACAAAUGCCCAGUCUGAGCAGAUAAUUUAAGGAGUUCAAAUCUGGUGGCUCAAAACCUGACCUGUGCUCAGAAAACUGCAGAGCCUUGGACCCUUCUCUGCCCUGAAUGCAUCAGAAUCUUGGCCAGAGUGCAUGGGGGGAGCUGCAUUGGUAAACACUGCCCUGGGACCCUGAUAGAUAAGCCAGGGAUGGAAACAGCAAACUCGAAUGCCUUCCAAAGCUCAGAGGCAACACAGCUCCCAGAAUACCUGAGAUAAACUGGCAUUGAUACCAUGUCUAAGGCCUCCAGGAAUGGGGAAUUUAUGAUCUAGCUAGACAAAUAUUUUUGAGGGGAAAAAUAAAAUGGGGACAUCUAGAAUUUCUCAAGCCACAUGCACCCUAGGAAAGUGGGGCUUGAUGGCAACUCCAGGGCCCUUGUGUUGUGUCUAAGACUUGAAGCCCCUGAGCCAGGGCCUAAGGUGGUUGGGGCUCUGGAAAAUCCUAGUCCUGCUAAGCUGUCGGAGCAGGUGCUGCUGGGAGGCAGCUGCUCAACAGCCACUGGGGAGUCAGAAAUGUGCUCCUAGAAACUCCACAUCAGACUUGCUUCUCUCCUGGCCCUUUGGUUACACGACACUGUAAUGAUUAAACUUAUCUACAUAAAUGUU